UCCUGGGGUGUUAAAGCAGCAAAGCAUGUGGAUGCUCUUACAGCAGCAAAAUUACGUUCUGUAGCUGUUCAUCACAGGAAAGUUACCACCCCUCCCUACCCCAGAGCGAAACAAGUUAUGCUAGUAAAGCCUCUUUAGCACACCUAUGUGGGUCAGGUAUCACAUCUCUCCGCCGCUCUCUUCCACGUAUUUAUGCAGGCAGAAGCCUAUAGCACAGACCUGCCUCUGGAACAGAUCCUGCUUGCAGCAGCCUGGUGAUUAUAGAGUUGGGCAGGCCAGCAUUUCCAGAUGCAACAACAUAUUUCACUUCCACAUAUGAAACGGCACUAUUAAAACCCCCUGAUCCACCCUUGCAUGACCCAUUUGCCUUUACUCUCUCCUGCAUCAGGAGGGUGGAGACAGAGACAAGCUGGCUCACCUUGUCAUCCCAAUAACAGCACCAGACAGGAAUUUCAGAGAGGGGAGAAAUUUCCCUCUAAGAGCCAGCACAUUUUUUUUGUAAUCUUAAAGAAAAUCAAGAGUACAGGAAUUUUUUGUCCCUUUUCCACUGCUGAAAUAUUCUCUCCCACCAUUCAGGAAUUGUUUUUUGUGUGUUGGCCUCUGAAAAGUUGACAGAUUUCUGUUGCAUCCCGGACUGAGCAGUGUGAGGUUGUUCUUGCCCAUGCUUAGGCAGCAGUUGACAGCACCUGUAUCUUACCUGCUGGAGCAGUUAAAAAUGCCACUGUUCCAAAUAAUUUUCAGGUCAGCAGUUAAAAAUCUAUCUUGACUAGGAUUAAAGAGACAAAACUACUUCCAUAAGUGGCAGUGUACUUUGGCAGCACUCUAUAGAAACCUCUAUGGGUUUAGAAGGUCUUGGUUGCCUUUCUAUAUUCAUUGCCAAGCAUCAUUAAAUACUUUCUGUCAAUCCUUGUAAGAGCUGCUGCACAGUUGCACUGACAGUCUAGCAAAAAUCACAUGUCAUGGAUGAAAGCAGAAUUUCUUUUGCCAGGCUGUAUCUAAAAAUGUACACAUAUUUCUUUCAAAACCACAUUGCUCAAUUGGAAGACUCCUUAUUUCCCUGCUGAAGACCUCAUUCAUUUGCAUUUGUGUUUGCAAAUGUUCCAACACAGCCUGGUUAAAGACAUUUGAUGGUAGCUAGUCCUUAGUCCUACCCCCAGCACUACAGGUGGAAGAUAACUAAUUUUAAAAUUUUGGUAAUGUAAAAAGUGUCUGUAAUCCAUGAAAAACUAAGUGCCAGAUUGUCUGCCAUAAUUUCCUUCAAAUUUCCUUCGGAGCUCAUAGAAUUAAAUAGAAAGAUCUUGCCUAUAGCAUUUCUAUAUUAAGUUUUUACCUUUUCCCCCCCCUAUUUCUGUAGCAGGGAGAUGGUUAUUAUAUCUAAGAAGAACUAGAAAUUAGGCUAUGAAAUUUUUUUGUAAGGUCUGUAGAUUUCUGAACACCUCAGAAUACAGAAUCAAAAUCAAAGUUUUGAAAAUACCUUUUGAGUUUGAGGUACCUUUUAAUACUCCUUCCUUUCUGUCAGGGGCACUUUAAUAACAAAAGGUUGAUUGUUGGGGGCGCAAGGCUGUGUGAAAAGGGCUGACAACUGCUCCUGUUCAAUAACCUCAUCUGAUAAAACCAUGCAGGGGGAGUAAUGGCACGAGGAGCUCACUAGAAGAAUGUGCAGCUGGUUUUUCUGGCUUUCCAAAAUCAGACUGUAAGUGGUGCCAGGCAGUCGCUGCCUCCUGAGUUCCCUCAGACCUUUGGUGUAGAUUCAGGACCUGCUUCUGCCUUUGCCUGUCAGCACUUCAGCCAGGCUGGAGCUGUGGAUGUGGCUGUGAGGGCUCUGGUUCUGGGGCAUGGCUGCUGCUGGAUGUGAGGAACUUCUGGUUCCUCUCCAGAAGUUACACUGCAGCUACAAAACUGCUUUGGGUUAUCCAAGGAAUGCACUGCUCAAAUUGCCGAAAACAGGGAAUUAGGAGCUUCCAUGUGGCACAAAACUGAAGUGAAAACCUGCACCAAUGGUCAUGGUAUUUUGCCCAAGGGACAGUAUUUAUUCCAUUCACACAGCAUGAUCCUGUUUUUAAUGAGUAGGCAGAGCACUUGGCAGGUAAAUGGUGUAGUCAUGGACAGUAUUAGCUACUGUGAAAUUGAAAUCUGUGCUUGUGUGUCCAAUACAAACAGUAAUGCACACACGGAGUCUAGUAUUCCCAGAGAAACCAGGGCUGACAUUUAACAGCCCCUGGGAAAAGUGGAGGAAAUUAAUACAGUGGGUAUGGGAGACAGAGGCUUGACACAGCAAGAAUAAAGAGGCAGAGAAGAGGUGGAUGACUGGAUGGUGAGUCAGUGAUAUUUUUGUUGAGUUUAUGCAUUUGUUUACUUUCUGGGUGUGAUAUCCAAAUUAAACAUUAGAUAUACCUAAAGAAUGGGUACAUAUACAUACUGUUGAGUGUUCUCAGCUACUGGGAUGCUCAUGGACACACAAACACCACAAGAAACAACACUAAAAGAAGCCUAUUAAGGGUUCAAGGUCAGUUGUUCAGAAUUAUGACAAUUGGAGCAAGCUUGUUGCUUGCUUUCUUUGUGCUUCUGCCUCAUAACCCAGUUUUUAAUUAUGCACUAACAGGUUUUUAAAUUUUUUUUUCUUCUGCAGGGCACCUGCCUCAGUCAGUGCACACAAUGGGCAGUGUAAGCUUUAAGAAGGUAGUAGUUUCUGAUUCAACAUACACCUUAUUUACUGUGUGUUGUUCAGCCCCAGCUCUGAAGGAGAAUUGUUGCUUAGGUUGCUGCCUGUGGAACUCAUCACCAUCACAUCUAGAUUGCUUCACAUUAUCUGUUUAUUUUUUAUCCCUCAGAUGUGUAUAAUUCCCACAAGGAAGAAGGUGGUAAAUCAGCAAAAGCCAAAAGCCAUGUGUCUAUUAUGGCAUCUUCCACUGAAAAUGUCAAGUUUUUUCAGAGAGCUUAGUGUUAUGCUUUUCAUGGAGUGUUCAAAGCAGAUUUCCAUUACAGAGGAAGGUUUCUCUUCCCCGUCACCUGCACUUCAAACCUGGGUCUCUGCAACACAUCCCUUACUUUUGCCAAUUCUUUUAACACAACUUUUACUGGAGUCAAGAUGGGCCAGUGGUCUCCUGAGGCUGAUGACACCCUGCUCUCUAAAAAUGAGCCAAGGAGCCAUCAGUUCCAUACAUUCUCUUUUUCCCCGAGCCUGUUUCUACAGUGCUGCCUGCCUGCCACGGAUGAGAUCUGAGGCUGUUCCCAAACCUGCUUCUCUCAUCCUCUUAAAUAUGUAACUUGGCUGCCAAGUCAUAGACAUGCACUUGGCAGCCGGCAAUAGCAACUGGAAACACAACAUACACAAUGCAAUUGUAUAAAAAAAGGGAACGAGAUGGCUGCAGAGAGCAGAGCCAGAGAGGAAUUUUCAGGCUGUUUUGAGAUCCUUGCUUACCUAUCCAUGGGCUGAUUCUGUUUGCAUGGCUAUGCCUGUAAAUAGUACCCAGAAGAGAAAAGAUGCAGUGUUUGAAAGGCUUUGGAAGUAAGGGAAGUUAGGGACAGGUUGCUUUAUGGAAAUUUUCUUUCCCCACAUUGUGUAGUCCAUUUGUUCUUCCACGUGGUCAUGAACACCAGUCCUUUCAGGACUAUCUUCCCUAGUUAGCAACUACUGCAAAAUUGAUUGAUGCCAUUUUUAAGAGGUGGAAGCACAGAAAAUGUUCCUUGUGUCUUACUGACCUGACCUGUCUAGAAGUCUUAGAUCAGGUAUUUUCAUCCUUUCAAAGUAUACAGUAGUGCAGCAACAUUUUCUUAGGUUGUAGCUGACCUGGUCUGUUGCAAGGUGUGAUCCUUCCCUUGUCCCCUUGUAUUUACCUGUAUCUCCACUGGCCCUUGUCUGACUCCACCAUGAACUGAUAUAAAAUGCUAACUCAACAGAAAGCUUCUCAUUUAUUUUUGCUGGAUGACUACUUUUGCUGUGGGGUCAAAGAUAAAGAAUCAUCACACAGGUAAACGAUGGGAAAAUUUUGAUGGGAUCAAGAAUGCUUCUCCAUUAACAACUGGCUCUUAGGCUGGUUUAGCUGUAAUGUGAACCCUUGAUGGAGACUUGAUUUCUAUUGGCAAAAAGUGCUUUUGUCAGCAUAACUUGUACCAAUUUUGGGUGUGAACUAAGCAAUACCAGUUAUAUACAACACUGACCCACUGUGAAUGAUGUGUGAGAGAUUCUUUGCUUGAAAAACCAAAUGUUUCACGAUAUCCCAAAGAUUCUAAACCUCAAAAUCAUGCCCUAAAGUGACCUGCCUUAGUAUAUGGGAAUUAUUUCCAGGUGCAGCUUCCAAAUCUUGAGCUGACUGCUCACAUAAGGACCUAGGUUGUGCCACAUAUUUGUGACCUGAUAUAGUUUGAAAUCUUGUAAAGGCGAAAGCUAAAGUGUGUUUAACAUUCAGAGUGCUGUCACUGCCCAUAACAGAAGGACCGGCUGCCCUGACUGCUGCCAGUCCUGGGAAAACCAGGAAAAUUUCUGCAGCCCCUGACCAUCAAUGCCACAAUGAGCAUAAAUAAGUGGCUGUGGAGAUGUUAUCAAAUGGAAAAAACUCAUUUCCCUGUUUGGACUAAAAUGCUGCCCAGGGAAGCUGCUUGGCAGAGCUGGGAGGAGCAGAGUGCAUUGGCCAUGAGUCCUGGUGCCCAGAGCAGGCUGCAGGGGAGGAGGGUACAUGCUGGGAUCUGCAGCUCCUAGGGGACAGCAGAUGGUCACUGCCAUAAGCAGUGUCACCCCUUCACUCCUGUCGGUGUCCUGGCAGCACUGAGCCAUCUGUGAGCCUCCCCAUCCUGCUGCUGCUGUUCAUGUUUGCCUCUGCAGCAGACCCAGGGGCCACAGGAGCCCCCACGGGAGGGCAGGACCUGUCCUGCUGCCCCAGCACAGGGCUGGGACAGUCAUUCAGCCAUUUGCAUUAGUGAGGAGCAGCUGGGAUGCAUUUUGAAGACACAGGGUGGAAUUUUCUCCUUCCUGUGGUGUGCUGGUAGGUCUUGCUAUGCUGGAUUACCACCUUUCCUAUUUUUCUUUCAUGGCUCAUAAUCCCUUGUGUGUAACAUAAAGGUACAGCAUUUGCGUGGGCCUUUUCAUCCGAGAGUGGCAAAACACUAUUAGAAAGCUGCAACUGAAGACUAGAAGAGGCAAGCUGAAAUAACCACUUUUUGUCAAAGGAUUAGAGCCAUGAUUUCCUCAUAUUCAUCUCUGUGGUCUAACCACUGCAUGGGCUGUGGGCUGCUGACUUGAAAUUAUUCUGUUGUCCCAUAUCCAGCCUCUGCUACCAAAUUAGAUUGAGUAAGAAUCUCUGAGAGCCUUGUGGCUGCCUGGCUGAACAGUACCUGGCAAAAAGUCACAGGAAAGCUUAAAGUUUCACUUGGUUUAAAUUUGUAGGCAGAGGGAUUUCAACAAUAAGACUCAUUUUGCUUUAAAAGUGACCUGCAAAUAAUAGUUAAGGGUUUGCAAGUCUCUCUUGUUAAUUAAGAAAGUAGUAAUAAACCUCAUUUAUUUCCAGGGGAUAUUUUUGUUUGGAAUUCUUAAAAAUGUACAUAUGCUGUAAAAUGCUGUUACUAGUAGUUUUGUCCAGUGUUCCCUGAGCAGUCUAUCUGGUGUUUAUUUAAAUUUCUCAAAAUAUCAGGAGCAUGCAUAAUAUAUGCCAUCUUUUAGCAAAGGUUUCUUUUCUUCUGAUACUUAGAUUCUACAAUUACAUAAAUAUUAUUAAAAACCCCAAAAGCAAUGUGCUAUUUAAUGUCUGGUUUAAUUCGAUUUCUCAGUCUUUUCAGAUUCACUGGCAAUCAAGGAACUGAUUCCUUUAGCAAAUUUCCCAUUACUUAUUCCUAACCCGAAAGACAGAAAAAGAACAAACACACAUUUUUCUUUCUUACACUGGCAACCUUUGGGAACUUCUGUUGGAAUAACUCACACAUGAACACUAUCUGGGGGAAAAGCAGGCUUAAGACUGAUGGAAAGUGCCCAAUAUGCAGAGAAUUUGCAUUAUAAAUACUUGGUUGGUCUGAGAACUUGAGCACAGAUUUAUGACAUGCACUCUUGCAGAGGGUAAGACUGACUUGAGGUGUGUGGUACUGAAAAGCUGAUACCAACACCCUUGAAACUGGAAGGUAAAAUAAUGAUGCUUGGUUUCAAAUUAUGCAGCUUUAGGCCUUGAUAAAUACAGCAGUUCCAAGUGAAUUCAGUCUAGUAUUUUUUUUACCCAAGAUCAACUGCAGGACAAAUUCUUGCAUCAUGUUAAUGGGGUAAAGGAGAAAUACAUAUUUACUCCAUACAUCUUUCAAGCUGAACUACAGGGGGACAGAUAAAAUUGUGUGUUGUGGGUCAGAAACGUGUCCCACGCCCUGGGGAAGCCGUGCUGGAUGUGAGGGCCAAAUGCCACCCCAGGUGUCCCCAGGUGGAGGCCCAUGGAGUGACGUUCCCUGUGCGUGUGUGACUCUGCAAUGGUGGGCACUGGGGGACUGCAGACCUUUAGGGAAACCACAACUCUGCAGGAGAAAAACUGCACCUAACUCUGCUUUGAAUGUCUGUGGCAGAUAUGGAUUAGGGCAUUAUCAGGCCUUUUAAACCAUUAGCAGGAAAAAAACCCCCAAAACCUAAAAGCACCCAAACUAUCCCCCCCUGCUCUUUUCUCAGCCAGUGGAGCGUGGCAGCAGUGGGUCACCCAUGCUGCUGCCUCCUGCCCUGCUGGGCAUUUUCCAAGCUUUUGUCUGGCUGGAGCCAGGCUGCUCCCCUCUGUGCUGGUCACACAGCCACAGCAGACACCUUUCAUGGGCUGUGUCUCACUCAGCAGCUUCAGCCACCUUCUCCACUGGGGUUGGGAACGCUGCUGACUCUGCCAGCAGCUCUCCAGGGAGAGGUGUGGGCUCUGUGGUGACCUCUGCCUGAGCUUCCCUCAGUGAUCCCAAGGAAGAGCUCUGGAAUGGGACAGUUUGCAUCUGAAAUCUUCCUAAAGCCACUUGAGACAGUUCUGGAAGGGUUUAUGUGUCACAGGGCAUGUGGGGCAGGGGGCAGAGCAAGAGAGCCCCCAGAAGCCUCUUUGUUCUUUGCUUCUGUAUUCUUGAAAGCAACAUCUCACAAUGGCCUCACCACAACCCAAAUAUUUUCUUAGUGUCAGCUAGAGGUCAAAAUCUUAAUCUUAAUGUUCAAAAACUUAAUGUUCUGGGAUGUUGACCUCUUCGUACUGCUGCUAGUAAUUUAAAAUCAUACUGCUGCAUGCUCAUACUCUGUAUUUCAGCUCCAAUCUAGCAGCUGAAGAAAACCUCAAGGAAGGAAAAAAUGCUCUCUUUCAGGAAAUGCAUGUUAAGACAUUAAAGAGGUAUUUCAAUUGGACUAGCCUAGCUCAAAAAGAAACAAGAUCAUCUGGGUGGGAAUAUUUUCACCCAUUGUCUGAGGAUCAUGUCUGAACAAAGCACAUGAAGCAGGAAGCCAGUUGUCAUUUCAACAGGGUGGAUGAGUGGUCUGAACACAAAAACAGAGCCAGACAUGCCUGGUGUUGAAUGCUAGCUCAGGCUCAGCCUGGUCUGACUUUGGUAAAGUCAUUCAGCAUCUUUGUUGCUGUUUCCAGAUCGCUCACAAUGAGGUAAUAAUUCUCAUCUACUCCAAAGAGUAUUGUGAGGUAAUUAAUUCACCUGUGUAAGGCACUUCAAAGAUUAAAUUAUUAUUAUUGUUAUUAAUUUUAUAAAUUCCCAACAUGGUAUAGCUGACUUUCAUCCAUUACUUAAAACCUCUUUGAUCUAUAUAAUACAGUUGCAACUUAUUAUAUUAGCAACUAAAAGAGCAACUUCAGAUGCAACCUUAGAGGUGAAAUGUCCUGUUUCUCUCAACAUCCCCAGCCUGAUUUGUAGCUCUAACAGCUGAAAGUUAGUUCAGGAUACCUGCCAAGCACAUUUCACUGCUUGUCCCUCUGAAACUGAGUGCAAUGAAGAGAACAUGGGCCAGGCAGACAAUAUUCCCAGACUGGAAUGAGCACUGUGUCCUUGAAUGUUAUAUAUUGGUCAACCACCAGCAUCUUCCAAGAGGAUUGCAGUGCCAUGCUCCCUGACAGAAGGCUGGCUGACAAAGGAGGAAAAUUGCAUAGGCUGUCCAAGUGAGCACAACAUGAAUAUGUGACGUGGGAUGAUGUAAAAUAUGCUGCUCUGCUUUUGAAAGAAGUGAAUGACUCACAUCACAUUACCUUUUGUAGCUGGUAUAAGAUCUGGAAACUUCACAGUGACCAUUCCACCUUCUACUUAGGAAUGAGAAACUAGAUGAGUUCCUCAUGGCCCUGCUCUUCUACCUACCUUUUCACCUGGGAAAAAUUGCCCUGGAAUUACCUGGAAAAGGAAUGCAGAUCCUUGAUUUUCCCAAACCUUUUCCCCUUGGAGCCCUAAGCUGGGGAGUUUCAGUCCCUUGAUGGCUCUUGGACUCCAGACAGUUCCCACCACAGCCUGAGGUCCCUCUGGGACGUCUGCUCUACGGAUUUCUUCUCAUCAUUGGCCUCAUUGUUUCAUCUCUGUAGGGCAGCAUCACUGGAGCUCACUGUGGCAAGUUAAAAUCCUGGAUGCACACACCCCAUGGGACAGUGGAGGAGAAGAACAAGAACAAGGACGAGUGGUUCCUCUGCCUUGACAGAUGACUUCAGUUUGCCCCCCUGAGAAGCCACAGAAGAAGGCUGAGCAAUGGCAGCACUGUGCUCCAGAGAGCAGUGGCAGAAGGUGGCUGCAGUCAGAGCAGCUGUGGUGUCUGUGGGCCAGACAUGGUUUCACUCUGCUCAGUAAAUCACUUUGAAAUUGCAGCUUAAGAUGCCCCACUCAUUUGUCAGAGCUGGGGGAGUUUGACACACAGGAGACUGGGCUGGGUGACUGGAGAUCUAGGCUGUAAUUCCUGGCCCUUCAUCUUUAUGCCUUUGUCGGGCCAUUUUUGAGAAGAUUACGUUCCUGGUUGAUUUUGACAACUGCUUUGACACCUGCAGAUGAAUAUGAUUAUUGAUUUCAAUGCCAACCCUGUUUUUCUAAAGAGUUAGCAAAACAACCAGGAGACAUGACUUAGCAGAGCCAAAAAACUGGUGAAAUUUUGCUUCUGAAGGAAGCUAUUCCAGAAUCUCUAUUAUAUUGUGUUUACUUUUUUUUUUAAUUUCCUUUUUUCCUCGAUAGAAUUAACCUUAAUUAUCACUAUUUCACGUAGAAAACUAUCUGUACCUCCAAAUAUUAAAAUGUUAGCAUGGAAAUUUUAGCAAGGAAAAUUUAGGGUGAAAUCCUGACUUGGUAAUAGCGGAUAAAAAUCAGUGGAAAAAUAAUGGAUUAUUAAACAGUGGAAGAAAACCACAAGUGUAAUAUUUCAUCAUUGCUAAGAAAAUAAAUUUGACACAUCAGUGCCAGUUUGGAAGUUUUUCAGUAAAAUAGACGAAUGCUGGAUAAGAAGAAUACAAUUAUUUUACCCUUGCAAUGUGUGGUUCAGUUUUUAAAAGCAUGAAAAUGUGCAGCACCAUUAUGAUGAGAAAUGUACUUCUUCUGGAGUAACCAAUAGCCCAGGGACUGGAUUGCUUCUGUGGGAUGGCCCAGCACUGCCUGACUGAGACAGACACUGGGAGUGCAGGUUCACAGCUAAUACUUAGUCUUCUCACUUAGACUGGCACAUGUGAUAUUAAAUGCCUAAGUAGCAUUGUGGCCUAGGCUUGUUUUCCAUGUGUCAGAUGAGUUCUUUUACCAUUGGAUGAGGCUGUUGUGGCCUGCAGCUUCUCUUUAAGCUUUUCAUUAGACAUCCGUUGUGGUAUGCAGCACAAAUAUUUAAAUAUAACCUCUUAGAAAUUUUAGGGGAUGGAAACCUUCUCCCAGAGAAGAAUAAAUAUAAAAGAUAUAUUUUGAAUUGUGUGUGGAGUCUACAUCUUCAUCAUAUAAAUGGUGGUACACUCUUUAUUCUCUGAGCAAUCUGGUCUAGUGCAAGGUGUCCCUGUCCUUGGCAGGGGAGUUGGAGCUAGAUGAUCUUUAAGGUCCCUUUCAACCCAAACCAUUCUGUGAUUCUAUUCAAAAUUAACAUUUCUAGGUUAUACCUUCCCUCCAGGCAGACAGGUUAGUGAUCACAUGAUCUGAAAAAUGGUGGUGUGAUGCCAGUUUUUGGCUUCUUUUUUCUUCCUCUGUUGAGUCAGGAUUGAAGCUCUCAAGAUGAUAUUUCGCAUUUAGGCUUAGGUGUUUAUUACUUCUUAUCUAUAUUACAAGUUGUGAGUUUUACAGCUUUCUACUAACAAGCUACAAAAUGGCUGUCUCUUGUUACAAGGUCUUUUAAUGCUAAACUAUCCAAUUAAGAAAUGACACCUAAAUUAUUUUCACUUUUAAGCCAAUAACUGAUCACUCGAAGUCUGCAAUGCAGACUUUUCUAUCCAUUUACAAAAUACCAGCCAUGAAGAAGGAAAAAGAAGGUAAAGAAGAACAACCAGAAGGUAAAGAAGAACAACCAGAAGGUAAAGAAGAACAACCACUGCCCUAAAACCUCCAUCUUGCCCCAUGAAUAUUGCUAUAUUCUAAAACCUUAAACUCUAAGUCUUCAACCCAGUGGUAUUACACACUUCCAAUCAAACUACACACCCAUAAUCCCAGUGCUAUCAAUCAAUUUUGGAAGCCUUCUCCACAGCUUCAGAUCAAAUAUAGUAUUUUCUUGUGGGUCUGUGCCCUUCAGCACAGAAAGUUUAAAAUUCUCAGCAUCCAAUGCUCCAACAGUGAGACCUUAAGAAGGGGCUUUAGCUGCAGAUUUUCUGGGUCAAAGCACGUGUGAGUGUCUUUCCCAGCUGCAUGGGUGACUCCUGGAAGGUGCACACCUGGCGGGACACGCAGGAGGCAGCUGUGCUAUCGCUGCCCUGUGGCAGCACGGUUUCCCUCCAUGGUGCAGAAAGAUCUUGGCCAAUACCUGGUGCUGAGGAAGGCUAUGGAACAUCUUCCCCUCUUAGUCCUGGGAGAAACCUGUCAGCUCCUGCAUGAGGAAUCCUCUGUGUGCCAAAGGACGGGUGCAGCUGUGUCCCUCUAGCUGCAGGACAGGGCUCUCUGUGACCCGUGGGUUGACAUCCCAGCAGGCUUGUCCUUGCAAAGGCGCCUUGCUUUGUCACGGCACGGCGACAGACAGUGCAUGGAGCCUUCAAAAGGCUACAAGGGCAAGGUGUCCUUUGGCACCUGUCUGCAGGGCAAUGCAGACUGUGGUUCACAGGCUCCUCGAGGGAGCAGCCCCAUGAAAUAGUGAGCAACAAGGGACUGCUUUUUUCAUGCCAUUUUCCUUGGGCAAAAGGCAGCUCUAGACCAGGCAGGGUCUCAGUUACUUCUGUCUGCACCUAGAACUCCACAGGAGUUACCUGGUGGGUUUGGAGCAGCAGCCUAUGAAGGCAGCACCCACUGUGCUCAGCAGGUUCUUUGUGAGCCAGCAUGGCAAGACCUGGAUGUCCUGCAGGUUCCCUGUCUCCAGUCUGUCUGGUUCAGACUGUUCUUCUUGUCCUGUUAGGGGCCAGUACCUGAUAUACAUGGAAUGCCAAGGUACUCUGAACAGCACAUUUUUCUUCUGUGCAGACUAAAACCAGCAUUUCAUCAGCAAAUAACAGUUUUUGUCCAUUUUUGCUUGUAAUCAUAGAGACAUUUUAGUGGUGCUAAGCUCUAGUGAGACCAGUGAAUGAACACUUCUAUAGGUGUUAAGGAAUGUGGCUUUUGUCCUUAAAAAUGGGGACUCACUGGGUGCUGCAGCAAAGAUGCCACCGUGUUUCCUGAUCCCACUAGUGUUUCCUCCCCACCAGGGGGGGAAAUAUUGUUUAGCUCAUGCAUUUAGUUCCCCACACAGAUGGACAAAGCAGUCUUUGACAAAGGUGCUUCUUACUGCUCCUGUUUAUCCUGUGGUUUGUCUCCCUUACCCUCUCAAAGACAGAACUGCACCAACCAACCAACCAACCAACCAACCAACCAACCAACCAUCCUCACUCAAGGAGGACCAUUAGCAGCUCCUUUGUACAGACACAGCUGCACCAUCACCUCACUUGCUCCUCACCUGGGAAUGGGUGUGUUUGCUUGUAUUGCUUUUUUCCUGCAGGUGUACUGCGGGAAAGAGCAGCAGUCAAACUGGAAACUGGAUCAGGCAAGUGAUUUGCUGCAGGAAGAGAGAUUGUCAGUCUGGAUUUCCUUAAAAUCUGGAUUUCCUUUCUGGAUUUUCCUGCUUCCAAAUGUUGGUGAUGUGUGCUCCUGUGCUGGCUGGGACUAAGACCUUCAUUUUUUAAAGAAACUGCACUGGAAGGACAAAACACAAAUUAGCUGCACCUUCUGUGGCUCAAACUGAAUUGUAAAUAUCUGCAGUGAGAUUUUUACAGCUUGAAGGAAAGAAACCAAACUGCAAUUUGAAGAAUUUCAAGGUGCUCUUUUACUAAUUAUUCUUCUAUGUGAAAGAGAUCAUACUAAGGCUCAAGAAACAGGCUGUAAGUAUGCCAUUGCCUGUCACAGCCUUUCUAUUUGGAAAAGGCAAUGCUCGUGUAAAUGUAGUGUAUUUCUGCCUGUGAUCUUGUUAUUUGCAGAAGAAUAAACAGUGUUUUCCCCUUUCCUUGAAUACAGCAGAAACAAACACAAACAAUUCACUUCUGGACAUAAAUUCCCAAGUCUGCUGGUCCUGACGAGGUCUGACCUCAGAUGGGUUCCCUUCUGUUGGUUCCUUCCUUUUUUCUCUCCUAUCUGAAGCCAACAAAAGCACAUCAGCCAUGACUGCAUCUGGGCAAGCAGGGAAGUCCUUGACUUUGUGAAGGAAAUGGAAACUAGAUCUUUGAGAGGCCUUCCAUUGUUCAUCUGUCUUUAAUACAUUGGAAAAGAAUAGUAUUUCUUUCUGCUGAACCUGACUGAGUAUGCAUGACGUGUUUGUAACUAUAAUGGGAUGUGUGGGGAUGUGGAUUAAAGCCUUGCCCCAAGGCUAUUAUUAUAAUUUUUCAGAGUAAUAAUCAAGAGAUGAAGGUGCACCAUCUAAUUUAGGUGUUUCAGCAAGUCACAUUGAGACGGUGCCUGGAUCUCCAUAUUGAUUGGAAUGGGAGACACAGUAUUCACAGUAUUGCAGACCUGGACAGGCAGGGUACUGACCACCCAUUGCUCCUUUGUACUUAGGCACUGCCAGAGCUCUGACAGCUGAAGUGCUGUGAUGGGGGAAUAUUUUAGAAGGAGGAGGGUGAGAUGUGAAAGGCAGUUAUGCUCUGCACAGAGAGGAGCAGCCCAGAUACAUGGAAUUCUGCUAUGGAGCAGAGGGAAGCCAGCACUGGGAACAUCGUGGUCAGCAUUUGCUACAGAUCAGCUGGCCAAGAACACAAAACAGAUGAAGCCUUCUCUCUCUAGUGGAAGAAGUCUCACUGUCUCAUGCUCUAGCUUUUGUAAGAUUUACUGCCUGAUCUAAAAUCUGGUGAGCAGGAAACACAGUAGGUCAAGAAAUCCAGAUUUCUGGAGUGGGUCAGGGAUGAUUUCUUGGCACAGGUGCUGGCCAUGCUGAGAAGGGAAUGUUCUGAUUGAUUUGCUACUCACAAACAAAGAAGUAAUGGUUGGGGUUGUGAUGGUCAAUGGCAGCCUUGGAGAGAUCAAGAAGUGGUAGAAUUUAAGACUAUGAGAAAGCAGAGAUAGGUGAGUAGCAGAAAAAUGACCCUCAGAACACCAGACUUUGGCUUGCUCAGGAAACUAGCAAGCAGCUUGUCAUGGGAUAUUGCUGGGAAGAGUAAAGGGACGUUUAGGGUGGAUGAUCUUCAAGGGCCAUCUCCUCAAAGACUGGGCAUGAUCCCUACUGUCAUGCAGGAGCUUAAGAAAGCAGUGCAUGAGGCCAGGGUGUACAGAGAACUACUGACUCAUGCAUAAAAAGAAAACACAUAAUAGGGGGAAGCAGGGACAGGCAAUCAAGGAGCAGUGCAGAACUACACAGGAUGGGAUUAAGAAAACCAAAACUGGGCUUGAGCUGAUAGCUGGUGAUGACGGGAAGAGCAACAGGAAGGGCUUCUACAGGUACAUUAGUAGUGAAAGGAAGAACAAGAAAAUUCCACUGCUGAAUUUCCUGGAAAUGUGCCUUAAAUUGUGCAAUGUUGAAUGCAGCAUGUCCUAAAUGCCACAGAGCCCCCACAUUACCCAUGUGACAUGGAGACCUAAAUGAGAGGGUGGUGGUAGUAGUAGUGGUCCAGGAACCAGAGCUGCCAGGAAGGUCUCUAACCUGUGGUUGUGAGGAUUACAGGGUUUCAGCAGCACUCUGCUGCUCCACUCUAAUCUGCCACUCUUCAGGUGUGCUGUAGGUGCUGCAGGACUUCCUGUCCUGAACCAACCUGUGCUCACUCAAGGUGUUGGUGAAGGACUUCAUGAGCCCCUAACAGAUCUAGUAAGAGUCCCAGGUGGGCUGAGACCUCUCUGAAACUGAAUUUAUGUCAAGAUGAUCAACUCUGGGUGCUGAUAGUGGAUCUGUUCUUGUCCCACUGAGCUGGCAGAGGUUACACUGGCAGCAGAGUGCACUGAAGGACUUGCUGCUUAGGAGUUAGCAGCAGACAAGCUCUCUGAAACACACCCCAAGCAGACCUUGGAUUUCUUGUUCUGCUUUUACUUUGUCCCUGAACAGAUAUUGCACAGUCGCUGGUUCAGCAGUUUCAUAUGCACAGAAGGGCUGCCAUAACUGCUUCAGAAUUAAUUUGGGUUUAAUCAGUGUUUUGGACAUGUUAACAUUUUUUAUUUCAACACUAUUGCAGAAGAGUUUUGCUGGAGGCUACUUAAUCCUCUGGAGACUUCUGGCUGGAAGCAUGAACAGAUUUUCCAGGCCUGAAGCAGCAGAUGUGUAUCUGGACAAGCAAGACAUUGCAUCCCCUGCUGACUGACUACAUGGAGCCAUGAAUGUCCUGGAGCAAAACUCACAGUAUUUCUGAACCAUCUCUGUGGAUGAUGAAAUCUGGUGGAGCAAAACCCAAUAAGAACUGAGCCUAAUGCUGUAGUGAGGAUGUAACUUUAAGCAGGACAAAGUUGCAUGUGCCUGUAAGAAAUGAAAUGGACAAUUUAGAUAAUCUCUUUGAAGAGUAGCACUUCUUCUUAAUGUUGAGUCUGAACUAUUGGUUAAUGACAGUCCAAAUGUCCCAGGUAUAAUUUUUCAGCAAAAGUUGUGUGACUACAGAAAGGUGAGAAACCUAGCUGAGAGCAUAUCUGCACUGAAAUAAUUGCUUUCUGUGCUAUUCUAAUUUCAUUUCCAAAGAGGCCUUGAUUGCUGUGUUACUAUCCCCUUGGCAUGAGUAGAACUAUAUUCCUUUUUAAUUUUUGACCUUCCCUUCACAGUCUGAAAUACCUGACUGUUGUGACUAGAAUACCACUAAAGAGGGGAUGUUCUCUUCAAAGGGAAAACUGAUGUACUAUACUGAGCAGAAGGUUGGUAACAAAGCAGAGAAGUCAGGUAAAAAUCCAAGAAUCCAGCUUUAAUAUCAUGAGGAAUUUACUGCUUAAAAGGGCUUACCUGUAAUACAAUAACUAAUGCAGGAUAAGAAUUGUCUUUCUUUCAUUAUUUUGUAAUUGAAAAGGUUGUUAAAAGAUUAAUUUCAAAAUAAACAUUGCUGUACCAGGGUUGAGCAAAGCAGAUUAAUUGGCUUUGAGUUCUGGAUUUCUUGAGAAUGUUCUACUUUAAAAUAGAACAAACAAAGAAAAAAUGAAUCAGUGGAAUAGUAGCUUU